UUGAUAAAUACGGUAUAGUAUGGUUUAAUAUGUGUUAUUUAGAAGAGAGAUUAUGGUAAUGGUUUAGCGCGAAUAAUGCACGGGUUUUUUAUGCAUGUUUUAGCGCGAAAGCGCACGAGUUUUUCGUUUUGGGGUAUAUAUGAUUUGCACAUCUAUUGAGUCGCCAUUCGAGGGUGUAUUUGACAGGCAAACGUUAUGAAACAAGAAAACGAAAGGGUGAUAAAGUAGUUUAGGCGUUCAUUUGCGAAAUACAUAGUAUUCGGAAGGAGAUUUUCGAUGAGAGGACUGAUUCUCUGCUAGAAGCGGAAUGGUGAGCUGGAACUUCGAACAAAGUGCAGUAACUGGACAGUACGAAUGGUAUAUUAAGUAUUGGAUAAAUAGAGGUAUGGUUUAUGUAGUAUUUUAUUAUUAUUAUUAUUAAGAUUAUGAUAAUGAUGUUUUUUAUUUUGUUUUACUAAUUAUCAUUAUUUUUGUAAAUAUUGUUUUAUUAUAUCUGUUUUAUUCUCUUGUGUAUUAUCCGAGUGGUCAGUUGACAGUUUGUGAAGGCCAGAGUGUGCCUGUUGUUGAUUAGCCAGUUGGCUUGUGUGGUCAUUUGACCGUUUGUAAAGGCUAGAGUGUGCAAGAUGUUGAUUAGCCAGUGGGCUUGUGUUAGUUAACCGUACUUUCUUAGAACGCAUGUCCACAUGGAAUAAACAAUCUAUGCAAGUUUAUUUUUGCAGUGCAGUAACUGGACUGUGUCAGUUCGAAUGGUAUAUUAAGUACUGGAGAACAUAAAGGUAUGGUUUAUUUACUAUGUUAUUAUUAUUAUUAAGAUCAUGAUUAUGAUAUUUAACCAGGUUUUCCGAAGGAAAAAACUGGUUAUUAGAUUGGCGAAUGCGGGCGGGCUGGCUGGCUGGCUGGCGGGCUGGCUGGCUGGCGGGCUGGCGGGCUGGCGGAAUAAGCUUGUCCGGGCCAUAACUAUGUCGUUCAUUGUCAGAUUUUAAAAUCAUUUGGCACAUUUGUUCACCAUCAUUGGACGGUGUGUCGCGCGAAAUAAUUACGUCGAUAUCUCCAAGGUCAAGGUCACACUUUGAGUUCAAAGGUCAAAAAUGGCCAUAAAUGAGCUGGUCCUGGCCAUAACUAUGUCAUUCAUUGUGAGAUUUUAAAAUCAUUUGGCACAUUUGUUCACCAUCAUGGGACGGUGUGUCCCACGAAAGAAUCACGUCAAUAUCUCCAAUGUCAAGGUCGCCACGACUAAAAAUAGAUUAAAAAAAAAAAAAAAACUUACAAAGGGGGUUAAUUUUUUUUGGUCAUUUCAAAAGUUCAGUUUGAGUUUU